rnacentral:rRNA from 1 species
GACGAACGCUGGCGGCGUGCUUAACACAUGCAAGUCGAACGGAAAGGCCCUGCUCUUGUGGGGUGCUCGAGUGGCGAACGGGUGAGUAACACGUGAGUAACCUGCCCUUGACUUUGGGAUAACUUCAGGAAACUCGGGCUAAUACCGGAUAGGAGCUCCUGCUGCAUGGUGGGGGUUGGAAAGUUUCGGCGGUUGGGGAUGGACUCGCGGCUUAUCCGCUUGUUGGUGGGGUAGUGACUUACCAAGGCUUUGACGGGUAGCCGGCCUGAGAGGGUGACCAGCGUCAUUGGGACUGAGAUACGGACCAGACUCCUACGGGAGGCAGCAGUGGGGAAUAUUGCACAGUGGGCGGAAGCCUGUUGCAGCAACGCCGCGUGCGGGAUGACGGCCUUCGGGUUGUAAACCGCUUUCGCCUGUGACGAAGCGUGAGUGACGGUAAUGGGUAAAGAAGCACCGGCUAACUACGUG